ACUGUCCUGCUUGCACCAAACAUAACCCAGGCCCAGAACAGAAGACAAACAACGGGAACAGAGUUUGGCUUUUGUACCCGGCCUGGUAAAUACAACAUGUUCUUACAGGUUGGAGAACCGUCUGGCUCAUCUUUGUACUUUCUCUCUUUCUCCCACUUUCUUCUAACUUGGAUCUCAUCGUUCUGCUUUGACGCUGGCCAAGUUCACAGUUGUCGAGUGGAUAAUGGAUGGUUUGUAAGAUUGGUAAUAUGCUAGGGCUGAGGAGACAGGCAGCCAGGCAUAUACUGUCUGUAUGAUAAAGUGACUUCUCUUUGAUCCCGAAUCCCCGCCCAGCCCUAUUGGCCGUCCAUCUGCUGAUAGGAGGAUAAGAACAGAAGGACUUAAUUCCUAUUCAUUCAGUCACAGUACUUGUGUUGGCAACGGAACCCGCGGAAGACCCUUUACCCCUGGUAGUCUCACAAGAAGUUGAGUGGGAGCCACUUCAUGUGUGUAAGGAAGAAACUGAAGGAAAUGAAGUGACCAGGCCAAGGCCACUACCUGGUAAAUAGUGGAGCCAGGCUUUGGACUUGAGUCUUACGCUUUGAACUCUAGAUCGUACUCUUUAUACACCAACCACCAUGGAAAGAAGUCCAAGCUAUCCUUCUAGAAAGGCUACAUGGAGGAGAACCAAGCACCGCAGCCAAUAGCCAAUACCAACAGCCAGACAUGUGAGGGCAUCUUGGGUCUUCCAGCCUCAGCCAAGGUCGAGGGGCAUGCAGCCCAUGUAAAAAACCCAGCUGAUACCAGGUAAAGCAGAAGAACUGCUCAGCCGGGCCCUACCUGAA